CGCGGCGUGCUGCCUCCACGAGCGCGAGUGUCCUGGUGGGUCGCCCCUGGCACUGCAUAGGAGCUCCGAUGGGGUCCUCGCUCCUUGUUUUCUCGCGGACGACCUCUACACCAGUACGUCACCAUGCCACCACGAGCCCCAUCGCUCCCUCCUCUCCAAGGAAUAGCUGCAUAUAUUGGGAUUGCCAAAUAGAAGAGGUCACCUGGGAGUGGCUUCAGGAGAUGAAAGAUUCCAUGAUGACUCUGUUGAGCAUACCAAUUGCAUGGACAAGUAUUGCAGCUGGUUAAUUUGUUGCUUGCCAAUUUUUAUUCCAUUAUCCAUGAAAGUGUUCUGACAUAUAAUAUAAUUAAGGUGUUCCAUCCAUGGACACUCAACAAGCAGUAAGAUUGGAUGAUACUUAGUUUAACCAAAGAUUUCCAAGUCCUAAGGUGCUGGUUCCAGUUGUUGAAAGAGCCCAGCAGCUUCGUGGCGGCAGUGCGUCUUCUGCUCUUUCCGUAUGAUAUAUAGCUCUCAUGUGGUUUUGUAUUUUGUGUUUCUUACCUUUGCAAUGGUUAUCUUUGGCAGAGACUGUAAAUUUCCUAAUGAUUUUCCUCUUAUUGUAGAUUUCCUCUAUAGUGUUCGUGUCUCAUGUUGUUUUCCUGAUGCUUGUAGGCCUUUGUCGAUAUGUAGAAUGAAGCAUACAUUAUUUUGCACUUCAUUUCUGAAGUUUAUA